UACGUAGGGGGCGAGCGUUGUCCGGAAUUACUGGGCGUAAAGGGCGUCUAGGCGGUUCAUUAAGUCUGAUGUGAAAGACCGCAGCUUAACUGCGGGGUUGCAUCGGAAACUGGUGGACUUGAGGGCAGGAGAGGGAAGCGGAAUUCCUGGUGUAGCGGUGAAAUGCGUAGAUAUCAGGAGGAACACCAGUGGCGAAGGCGGCUUCCUGGACUGUACCUGACGCUGAAGCGCGAAAGCGUGGGGAGCAAACGGG
rnacentral:rRNA from 1 species